GGUUACAUCGCGUUGAAACAUCGGUUCCCGUACGUUCAUCGAAGUUAAGCAAGAUCGAGCCUUAUCAGUACCUAGAUAGGUGACUAUUUGGGAAUAACAAGAUGCUGUAAG